rnacentral:lncRNA from 1 species
AUUUUUCUUUCUCUUUUUCUUUUUUUUUCAAAUAAACUCUGGGGGUAAAUUUUACUCUUUUGACUCUUUUUCUACUCGAAUUUUUGUGAGCAUUUUGUAGGUGUGAGAUUCUUAGGUAUCGGCAAGUGCAUUUUUCUCUUUUUUUUUCUUUUUUUCUUCUUCUGUUGGACAUACACUAAUAUUUUCUUUUUGUAUGAUCUCUUAUUAUGCACUUGCCCUCUCUU